CUACGGAGGGUGCAAGCGUUAUUCGGAAUCACUGGGCGUAAAGGACGCGUAGGCGGGUUGGCAAGUCAGAUGUGAAAUCCUACAGCUUAACUGUAGAACUGCAUUUGAAAUUGCUAACCUAGAGUAUGGGAGGGGGAGAUGGAAUUAGUGGUGUAGGGGUAAAAUCCGUAGAUAUCACUAGGAAUACCGAAAGCGAAGGCGAUCUCCUGGAACAUAACUGACGCUAAGGCGUGAAAGCGUGGGGAGCAAACAGGAUUAGAAACCCUAGUAGUCC
rnacentral:rRNA from 1 species